ensembl:lncRNA LINC01366 long intergenic non-protein coding RNA 1366
GGGACCAUGAGACCUCCCACUCCUGGGGCCAGAAGGAGUUGCUGAGAAGGAGCUGUGGUUCUGACCUUCAGGGGAAUUCCCACGUCUGUAUGGUGGCUCGUGAAGAGCAUGGUUCCUUUUCUCAGCCCUCUUGAGGGGCGAGGAUGCUGAGGACUGAAGUCGGUCACUGAGAGGCUGCCAGAGGGCCAUUUUCAUGACCAGAGGGAUCUGUUCAACACCCUGUGGGUCCCAGCACCUAUCUCAGGAAGCAGGGUGCAUCUGUCCACCACCAAGUCUCAGGGUGGCUGGGUGAGCGCUCAUCAGUCCCAGACAGCAGGUUGGCACAAAACGACACUGCCCACAAAACCACAGGAAGAAGAGAAACUCCGACUGUCUUUCAGCACACAGAAGACACUGUACUGGACCCGGACAUUAGGCAGACACCCACGCCUGACUUUCAGGAGAAAAGAGAACAUGACUAACGGAUAUUCUUAGUAGAUGGUUUAUUAGAAAAGAGAACAUCUUCCAGCAUGUGUCCUGGGGUGAUGGGUGUGGGAAGCACUCAGUCCAUAGUCCUGGUCCCUGGCUUCCCCAAGCCCAGCACCAUGAAUGUACAGUGGAAAGCAGAGGGUGCAGCGUCUCAGAAAGAUGCUUCCACUCACAAGGAUUGGAGCUCACAAGUGAGCUCCAUAACCUGCAAACCAGAGAAACCUGAGACACUGCCCCUUGGCCAUUUUAUCAACGGAGACUUUAUUGUGAUUAUCCCGGCAGGGGGCCGAGCUCUCCUCUCUGCAACAGGAAAUGCUCUUUAGUGAAAAUGCAGCAUUUCUCCAAGGGUAACAAAGCUGAACGCCUGCUUAGCUUAUGAACCCUCAGUUGGCCUAGGUGGUGCAAAGACCCUGCUGUUACUGCUUUGAUCAUCAGUACUGUGGACUGUACCAGGAGAUCCCUGGGAAUGUGCUCUGGGCGGAAGCAGCUUUUAUCUUUGGCCCUCACCCAUGCUUUAUAUGGUGAGGUUGGGAAAAUGGCACAAGGCUUCUCCUGAACCUCAAAUCAACACCCUUGCCCCAUUUAGAUCCUAUCUGGCUGUUUCUUGCUAAUAUUACUGCAUCACUGCACCAUCUUUCCUAUUUCAGCAAAGUGGAGUCAUGUGUGGUUUAUGGGGUAGAUGGACCCCAAAACUGAUAAUAUGAAUCAAGCUAUGGUGUUUACUCCCUAGGAAAUGCACAAUUUUUCUGGAAACCUACAGAAGCUUCAAAUGCAUUCGCCAUGCAAAGCUAAGUCAGCAGAACAACCCGUUUGGCUUUGGAGGCUAGUUCAGUUCCGCGGACAGGGAGAAAGAUGAGGCAGACUGUGGUUUUUCAGUUCCUGGAGCUUACGGAGCUCCAAAGCUCCCUCUCUUCCCACCCUGGCUGCACUGUUCUUAAUUUUAGAUAAUACCCUGCCUUCUCGUAUUGCUGCUGAGCUCCUAGCAUCCUCAGUUUAUCUGUCUGUGAAAUGAAAAAUCUAAUGUUAAAUUUUUUACCUAUGGCAUGAGAGAGAUGGCUAUGGCUCUUGUGAGCCUCUCUGCAGCCCCUCUUUUCCUUCAAUCACCCUCUGUCUCUCCUGCCUUCUGCUUAUUCUCUCUCUCCCCUCAUCCCCACUUUCCCAGUGGGUCCUCUGUUCUCUUUUUUUUUUUCUUUUUAAAUCUCUCUAUGCCUCCAGCCGAGAAGAUAAAGAGUGUACAUCUUUCUGGUUAAAAAGUUUUGCUUUGCAGAAACACAGCCAAUUUAUGAUUCUGGCCUUCCCAGCUAGGGACAGUGUUCAUUUACAUUUAGGACCAUGAGGAGAGAGGCUUAGCUGUGUGUUUCUGAGGCCGGAGAAAAUUACAGUGAUAUAUAACAGUGCUGCACUCAUAGAGGUGCUGAGCCGGGGUUGGGCUCAGGCGGCCGCUAAGCUCAGAGUGGAAAGUUUCAGAGGGGAGGCAGAAAGGAGAGGUCUAUAGCUCCUCCAGAUUCUAGGUAUUAAUUUACUAAGAUAUUCCUAAGCCAGAAAACAGAGACAGAAGACAAAGAGAAAGAGGGAAGAAGAGCAAGACAGAGAGUUAGAGAGAGACAAAGAGAGAGAGUUAGAGACAAAGAGAGAGUGGAGAGGAGAGAGAGCAAAUAUUGAAAGGAAAAGGAAAAAGAAAGAAACCUGACAGCUCAUGAACUUUUUAAAAAGUUACAAAUUAGAUUUGAAGAGAUGGGCAGAGGUUUAAGAUUUCUUCAUUAGGCUGGGUGUGGUGGCUCAUGCCUGUAAUUGCAGCACUCUGGGAGGCUGAGGGUGGCAGAUCAUCUGAGGUCAGGAGUUCGACACCAGACAGGCCAACAUGGUGAAACCCUGUCUCUACUAAAAAUACAAAAA